rnacentral:pre_miRNA from 1 species
UUGUGCCUGGUUCCUUGUAUGCCACAAGCACAGUCCAAUCUGUUCACUGGAUUGGCUUUGCCGGUGGCUUGCAUGGAGCCAUGCAUAC